GACGAACGCUGGCGGCGUGCUUAACACAUGCAAGUCGAACGGAAAGGCCCUGCUUUUGUGGGGUGCUCGAGUGGCGAACGGGUGAGUAACACGUGAGUAACCUGCCCUUGACUUUGGGAUAACUUCAGGAAACUGGGGCUAAUACCGGAUAGGAGCUCCUGCUGCAUGGUGGGGGUUGGAAAGUUUCGGCGGUUGGGGAUGGACUCGCGGCUUAUCAGCUUGUUGGUGGGGUAGGGGCUGACCAAGGCUUUGACGGGUAGCCGGCCGGAGAGGGUGACCGGCCACAUUGGGCCUGAGAUACGGCCCAGACUCCUACGGGAGGCAGCAGUGGGGAAUAUUGCACAAUGGGCGGAAGCCUGAUGCAGCAACGCCGCGUGCGUGAUGACGGCCUUCGGGUUGUAAACCGCUUUCGCCUGUGACGCAGCGUGAGUGACGGUAAUGGGUAAAGAAGCACCGGCUAACUACGUG
rnacentral:rRNA from 1 species